AACGUCGUGAGACAGUUCGGUCUCUAUCUGUUGUGGGCGUAGAAGUCUGCGAAGGUCUGACAUUAGUACGAGAGGACCGUGUUGGACCAGCCUCUGGUUUACCGGUUGUGGCGCCAGCUGCACCGCCGGGUAUCCACGCUGGGUCAGGAUAAGCGCUGAAAGCAUCUAAGCGCGAAGCCGUCUUCAAGAUGAGACUUCAUUAAGGGCCGUGGGAGACGACCACGUUGAUAGGCAGGAGAUGUACGGGCAGUAAUGUCCUCAGUCGACCUGUACUAAUCGCCCGAAACCUUCAAGUA
rnacentral:rRNA from 1 species